AAUGCGCGAAAGCGUGACGGAGCAAUGCCGCGUGAUCGAAGAAGGCCUUCGGGUUGUAAAGAUCUGUCAGGGGGGAAAAACAAUGAUGGUACCCCCAGAGGAAGCCACGGCUAACUACGUGCCAGCAGCCGCGGUAAUACGUAGGUGGCGAGCAUUAUUCGGAAUUACUGGGCGUAAAGGGUCCGCAGGGGGUUUGCUAAGUCAGAUGUGAAAUUUCAGUGCUUAACACUGAACGUGCAUUUGAAACUGGUAGACUAGAGUAUGUGAGAGGUGAGCGGAAUUUGUGGUGUAGCGGUGGAAUGCGUAGAUAUCACAAGGAAGGCCAAAGGCGAAAGCAGCUCACUGGCACAAUACUGACCCUCAGGGACGAAGGCUAAGGUAGCGAAAAGGAUU
rnacentral:rRNA from 1 species